rnacentral:rRNA from 1 species
ACGGUAGCACAGAGAGCUUGCUCUCGGGUGACGAGUGGCGGACGGGUGAGUAAUGUCUGGGAAACUGCCUGAUGGAGGGGGAUAACUACUGGAAACGGUAGCUAAUACCGCAUAACGUCGCAAGACCAAAGAGGGGGACCUUCGGGCCUCUUGCCAUCAGAUGUGCCCAGAUGGGAUUAGCUAGUAGGUGGGGUAACGGCUCACCUAGGCGACGAUCCCUAGCUGGUCUGAGAGGAUGACCAGCCACACUGGAACUGAGACACGGUCCAGACUCCUACGGGAGGCAGCAGUGGGGAAUAUUGCACAAUGGGCGCAAGCCUGAUGCAGCCAUGCCGCGUGUAUGAAGAAGGCCUUCGGGUUGUAAAGUACUUUCAGCGGGGAGGAAGGUGUUGUGGUUAAUAACCGCAGCAAUUGACGUUACCCGCAGAAGAAGCACCGGCUAACUCCGUGCCAGCAGCCGCGGUAAUACGGAGGGUGCAAACGUUAAUCGGAAUUACUGGGCGUAAAGCGCACGCAGGCGGUCUGUCAAGUCGGAUGUGAGAUCCCCGGGCUCAACCUGGGAACUGCAUUCGAAACUGGCAGGCUAGAGUCUUGUAGAGGGGGGUAGAAUUCCAGGUGUAGCGGUGAAAUGCGUAGAGAUCUGGAGGAAUACCGGUGGCGAAAGCGGCCCCCUGGACAAAGACUGACGCUCAGUGCGAAAGCGUGGGGAGCAAACAGGAUUAGAUACCCUGGUAGUCCACGCCGUAAACGAUGUCGACUUGGAGGUUGUGCCCUUGAGGCGUGGCUUCCGGAGCUAACGCGUUAAGUCGACCGCCUGGGGAGUA